AGCUCCAAUAGCGUAUAUUAAAGUUGUUGCAGUUAAAAAGCUCGUAGUUGAACUUCUGCGUACACUCAGUUCUGGCCUUGGUCAAGCUGUUUCGUGCGCAUCCGCUUGCAAACCCGGACCGGCCUUUACUGUCCGACCGGGGGAGUAAGCCCUUUACUUUGAAAAAAUUAGAGUGUUUCAGGCAGGCAAUGGCUCGAAUACAUUAGCAUGGAAUAAUGGAAUAGGACUUUUGUCCAUUUGGUUGGUUAUUGGACAUGAGUAAUGAUUAACAGGGACAGUUGGGGGCAUUAGUAUUUAAUUGUCAGAGGUGAAAUUCUUGGAUUUAUUAAAGACUAACUUAUGCGAAAGCAUUUGCCAAGGAUGUUUUCA
rnacentral:rRNA from 1 species